GAGCACACAGUUAGUCUGCUGUGUUUUUCUGGAAGUCAGAGGGUGUGUUUCGUUACCCUCCAGGGUUCUGUGCACUCUGGGACAUAUGCCGUUUCCAAACCUGUUUACUAUUUUGGCUUGUCACACAACUUCAGGACAAGGUGUAUGGAAACUGCAGAGAGGGCAUCAAGUCUGGGUUUAAAAGCUUCUGUGGUUUACAGAGUAUUGAAUCACAAGCGCUUAGUAUUCUGGCAGUCUUUCUGUCUGAGCUGCUUCUCCUGCCACUCAUCCUUUGACUGAGCUGCCUCUGGGCAGUGUGGAGGCUCUGCCUGGACAGCAAUGAGGAGGUGGAGGAAGAGGAAGAAGAGUGGGAUUGAUUUUUGAUCCACAGGGGGGAGAAACAAUACAGAGGAAGGGGACUCCAUUGCCAUUCACAGCAAGUCUAUAGCAGUGAUUCCCUAAAAAGGCAAUCCAAUCUGUCAGCAUGAGUGAUGGGAGGAGCACCAGCAGGAGUGGGAGAGGAGGGUGAGGGGAGGCCGGAGCCAGGGCCAGGUGUCAAGCCAGGUAAGAACAUGUUUUGCUGUCAGAGCACUAAUCUUAAAGCCUUGGUUUGGUCACUUACUCGGCUGAUUGGCAGAUGUUAUGAUAGCUGGAAAAGAAGCUGCAAUCACACCUAGUCAGCAUGGUGUGUGUAUUGCAGGUAAAUCAAAGAACACACUCCUCCCAUCACCUUCUGUAAGCACACACUGACUGCCUAAAUAAGGCAAGGUUGAAGAUUGACACUGGGGAUUGGCAACAUUUCCAUGCUUAAAAUUCUUUAUCGUCUCCAUCUCUCUCUGUCUCUGUCUCUCUCUCUCCUUGCUCUCUCUCUUUCACUUUCUCUCUCUUUCUUUCAUUCUCUCUCUUGCACACACACACACACACACACACACACACACACUCACCCACACCCACACACACACCCCAUAUAUUUGUGUGUCUCGGUUCCAAGCAGCAUUAACAUUAUUGCCAAAACACUGAAAUGACAAAGAAAUGUUAUAUAAGUAGGGGGAAUGUGUGUGUUUGUGUUGCUGUAUCACUCAUUAUUUACAGGCUGUGUGUUUGUCUCUUUACCCUUUGUGCAGUUUAUCAGUUUUGUUAAGUGUAAAACUGGAUGAAUGAACAUUUAGUAAUGUUUGCUGUAAAGGGCUGGAUUUCUGACAGAGCUUUAUCUCCAAGGCAUUGCUGUUGCAUGGUGCUCACAUUCUCUGCUCUAUAUGAGCUGUGAUUUUAUCUAUGAGCACAUCUUGGACCAUGUUUGAUCCAUGUUUGAUGUAAUGUCACUUUUCGAAGCCAAAAUCACCACAUUUUAUCAUGCUCUGGUUAAGCCUUUUACUGGUUCAUGUACGCUUAUGAAGAGUAGUUUCAGUAUGAGUCUGUGCACUUUUGCUUUGUGUUAGUGUGUGUUUUUGUCAACAAGAAAUUAGAUCAGGUUUAGAUAAAAGAGAUAUAGGCACAUAUGAGAAGGCAGAAGGCAGUACCAUUUGGUUAGAUGAUAACUCCGUGCUGUUGCAUAACUCAGAUUCCAUAGUUCCAACCUCUAGCUUGAAUGUAAUAGCUAUCUAAUUGACAAUGCAUGAAAUUGUAAAAAAAUAUAUACUAGCUAAGAGAUCUAAUCACACAGGUUUUUAUAAACCUAAUCUCUUUCUUGGAAAUAUGCAGGCAAUGUGUGACUACCAGAGAACAGGCUUUUCCAUUAAUAAAAACAGAAACUUAUUUCAUAGGAAAACUGAAACUCAUUUAACUCCAAUCUCACAUUGGACUUUUUGGAAUUUAAUUAACAUUUAUCUAAAAGUUUAAAUGUUGGGGGGUUUUUCCCCCAUAAAGAAAAGAAUCACUAAAAAAAAUCUCUACAGUAUUCUAUGGACAUAGCUUUCUAUUUAUUUCUCAGUUAAGAAAAAAGUCAUUAGAUAUGGAUUAGCUGGAAAGAGUGCAAGAGUGUUUUCUUUGACCCUUUUUCCUUGUACAAUUCUGUGGUCAAACACUUUAUACACUGAAACUACUAACAACAAACAUUAUUAUGUUGUCACAAGUUAUGAUAUGCUUCCUGUACUUUUAUUAUAUAUUGUGGACUUUUCAGGGCGAGAAACAAGGAGACUGCUGCCUUUUUUCAGAGAUAGGUGGCAGAGUUCAGUUCAGUUCAGUGCUUUGUGUUAAAAAUCUCAGUUACACCAUGUAAACAUCAUACUUGUCUUGAAUAUCCUGUUGGUUUGGGAGAAAUACCUUAUUUCUGCAAUGAAGUCAUUAUAUGAGAAGAUACUUUCUUUCAAAUGAAAAAGCUAAGAAUCCAGAUUAAAUUGGAGCCAGGUAGGGGAACGUGUGUCAGCACUGGGAGUGCCAGAGGGAGCAGAUUGUUGUUUGACUAAUAAAUGAGAGAAUGUGUGUUAGUGCAGAGUGGACAGAUGGGGACUGGUGAGCUUCUGUCCCAUAUCACAAUGGCCUGGCUCAGCAGGAGAAAUUAGGGUGGAGCUUAUUGGUCCCUCAUCACUACACAACACCGGCCUGGGCCACAUAUCAACUCAGCUACAUCUGGUGCUUGGGCCCGCUCCUAUGUCCAGCAAACUGCAAUUCAACAUGCUUCUAGUCCCUUAAACUAGAGAAAUAGAAAUACAGUCUUAUGUGAAAUGUGGAAGCAUAGAUAAGACUUUUGAAGAGUGGUCAAAAUUUGGUUGCCGUGUUUGUGUAAAAAUGUAUUGCACUCAUACGAUUCUGUGAAUUAACUGGCACUUCUGCCCCAGGGUAUCAGCUGAAUGGCCAUAUUGGUGUGUGUAUGUGCAAGUGUAUGUUGGUGUGUGUGUUUGACCAUCUGUGCCAGAUGUUAAUAAGGCAUCACGUUAAACAGAUGGUAGGAGUUAAAAAAUGAGACUCCAGAUCAGGAUUAUUAUUGCCUGGAUGUUUUUCAUUGAUAUUCAGUUUCCUCUUCACCCGUGGGGACUAUCUUCAAUUACAUAAUGAGAAUAUCUUGAAUAGUUCAAUUGGAGUUUCUGAAUUUCUCACAAUAUCUUGCCUAGGGAUCUGUCCAAUAACCAUUGUUGAACAAGGAAAUGAAGCUUUUCUUUUUUCUUUUUUUAAUAGCCAGAAUAAUAUCCAGUGAAGCAGUGAUAUUACUGGUGCUGUGUUUUUUCUCUGAAUGGCUGAGGGGUGAAAAAUGGGGCCCUCCAGAAGAGCUGCUGCUCUUUGUUGUCCCAGUGAAUAUCAUUAGCAUCUAAAUUGCCUUUCUGGCCACCAGAAACUAAAAAAAACGUGUGUGUGUGUGUGUGUGUGUGUGUGUGUGUGUGUGUGUGUGUGUGUUAGUACGAGGAGACACAGUAGCACAGGGGUGCACACAGACAGGUGAUUAGAGAAACGCCUCAAUUAGACUACAGCCAGAAGUGGACAGCAAACAUGCUGAAAACACCCAAAACGUCAUUAUCAUAUCAAGGUUGUUCUUUGCCCCUGAUCCUGAUUUGAGUCAGUAAUAGUUACAAAUCUAAUCAUAACAAGAUGUGUUUUAUGUUUUUGUAGAUAACUGAGGCGGUACAGUACAGACUGUAAGUACACAAAAUCAGUAAAAUCAGUCCCGUACGGGAUGCACUUUUGUUCUGCAUCAACAAAAGAUUAGCUAAAAAUGUCUUCAUUUUCUUUAUUGGGUGUAUGGUUUUGAACAACAGUUCAUUGUAGAAAGCUAGUAAUUAAUAAAAUAUCUCCAAACAUUGACCAACAUUAUUUAAAAAAUUAAAGUUACAAUGGUCUUAAAAGACUAAUAAAUGUGUCAGUGCUCAUAUAUCAACAUUCACAAGUCUACCUAGGUCUAUGAUGUUUAGAUCAAUGUUUUUUGUAUUGCUAUAGCACUGCAUUGUGCUGUGUUUCAAUCAAGACAAUUUGGAGUUAAUAAGUAUAAUACUAUUGACAUACGACCGAUGAUGCUGAAAUGAAAGUUAAGAGAAUGUGAAAAUAUUGUUUGCAAUGUAAACCUUUGUAAUUCAGAAUGGAAAGCCUUACAAAGGAAGUAUAACAUUUGUCAUGAGAGACAGGUUUCCUGAAAAAUUUUAUAUUAAGUAUAAGUGAAUGCAAUCUCCCUGGAAACACGUUGCUAUAGUAAUGUGACUGGAGCAGCUGCAGGAUCUCAAUGUAACCAGUAGGUGGAGUGGCAGGGCUCAGACAUAACUGCUUUACAGCACUCCCUAGCACCAGUAAGACCUUUGCUGACACACCCUUUAAAAAAUGUAUGUGACUGUACAGUAAAUUAUAGUUCAAUAUGAAUAAAAGAAGAUAUUAUAUCUGGAGAUCAAUUACCCGAAAAAACCCAUAAUAUAUUAGGUCAGACAAUAGACUUUAACAAAGAAUGUUUCUUGUUGUUGAGGAUAAAAGGCCUAGAAAGAUCAAUCGUGGCUACUGAUGGCUGGAUAUGACCUUCAGGGAUGGGUGAAUCCGUACAGCCACUUCAGAAGUUCUAUCCUCAGAUCCUGUUUCUCGACCCAUCACAACGCUACUCUCCCCAUAUAAAUCAAUAGAGCUGUGGGGUUGACGUAAGGCUUCCUUAUCCAGAGUGACUUACAUUUAUACAAGUGAGCAGCUGAAGUUUAAGGGUCCAGCAGUGCCAGCUUCGUGGUGCUCAGAUUUCAACUCGCAACCUUAUAACAAAGGUCCAAUGCCUUAACCCCCUGAGCUACAAUUUCAGAGUGUGUUCUGGAUUCAUCUAUUUUGGAAGGAUAUCCUGUUUUUGCUGAACGUCACACUGGCGCCUCAUUUUCUUCUGGAAAGUCUUUUGUAUGUGCAAAUGUUUUUCUCCACAUCUUGGAUAUGAAUAUAUAUACAAAAAUAUACAAAAAAUGCAAAGUGUAAACAUUUCUAAAGAUGCAAAUCAGUCAGAACCACCAGCAAACAAACAAAACCAAAAUAAAAAAAAACCCAAACCAACUCAAAUAGACUGCUUGUACAAUGUUUAUUAAGCAUGAGGCAAUGUACAACUGCACAUGACCCAUAAAGAACAGCACACAUUUGAGUAUGUAGGUCAUAGUGUCAGUGUGAUCACCCUUAGGAGAAGAAGUUUUGUCAGACUGGGUGUUGGAACCUGCAUGACCGUGAAUGCUCAGUCUGUUGGCAGAGGGAAGAGAAAGAAAAAAAGAGAGAGAGGGAGAGGGAGAGAGAGAGAGAGCAAGCAGGAGGUGACUGGAUGAUUCAGAGAAAUGCAUUCAGGUCAGUAAGCUUCUGGCAGGGUGCUCUGGUGCACACAAUACAGCAGACCCGCUGUGUCAGCCCUUGAGAGGUAUAAGGGUGAGUUAGCAGAACAACAGAGCUGAACAUCUCUCCAAUUCCAGAGGCAUUAAACUUGAAAAUAGAGGUUACAAUACAGUACCACUGAAUGUAUCGAAUGUUGAAGCAUUAACUAUCUAUACUUUAUUCAGCACCAUAUCAAUGGAAAACUACAUGGUGCCAUGUUAUUAGAGAUUUAGGCCUGGAAUGGUUUUAAGGAGUGAAUGGGUUAACAAUAUAAACACAGACAAAUGUGAAAACCCUUUAGACGACAGCAGUACCACCACCGCGUAGACCGUUAAACCGGCUGAUGUUUGGGUGGUAAAUAAAUUGUUAGACAACAGUGUUCACAGUGCACACAAAGAGCCAGUGUAAUGUAACGGCUCACAGCCGCAUGCUGGCUCAUCCUAGUCAUGGGCGGGGGGGGAAGAGACGGGGAAUGGUUGUCUGAUUGGCUCGGUGGUAAAGGCAAGCGAGGGCGAUUGAUGCCUCUGUCCGCUCAGGAGGAGCUGGCAAAUCGCACCUGACGCAGUGCUGCAGCACACUAUCGAUAUGCAGCACAUCACAUCUCCUCCCCAGUGCUGCCACAGCCAGUACACAGCCAGAAAGAGAGGAAGAGAUGAGGGUGGAGAUAGGAAGACAAAUACUGUACACAGCACACAAAGAAUAGGAGUAAAGUUAAAAGGCAAGCUGAAGGAAUAUCUACAUUUUGGCUGCAUUCCACAGAUGAAUGCACACACAAACACAUCUGCAGCAGAAACAACACUCCUCAGGACAUUACCCUCAGCAGCUAUGCCUAACGAGUUUGCAUUGCACAGCAUGUUUAUUUAGGCAAAGCUUUCGCUUAGCUUGGAAAAAACUUAUUUCCUCUU